AUUCUUGGUUAAGACUUUUAUCUCACGUGGUGUCCAUCUUCUGCACAGACAAGCCUAAGGACAGUAAAGAUUGCACUCAUAAACCAUGCUGACCUGGCUGAGUGCUGCCAUCUUCCUUUUCAAUUUCUCCGUGUCCCAGAAAAUCAGGACCACCAGCUUGUUGGUUGGCCGGAGCACCAACCUAAGCUGUUACUCUACGGAGCACCCAGAGCCCACGGUGUUUAGAUGCUACAAAAAUGACAACUUUACCAGCCAGCUGUCACUGCACAAUGUCAACCAAUCCAUUGGUGGGAAUUACUGCUGUACAUAUGAGAAUAUAUGUGGAAAUCAUUCAUCAGAAUGUGUACAAAUCAACAUAAGUAAGAUCUGCACUUUUCUUUGAAUUUAUUUGCUUGU